AACUUGUUAAUAAGGUGUUUCUUAUUAAAAACGUCUGAACAUAUGAACUCCGUAGUGAUCUCAGUGCAUUACUGAGAUAAGCU
ensembl:snoRNA